AGAGUUUGAUCCUGGCUCAGAACUAAUGCUGGUGGUAUGCUUAACACAUGCAAGUCGAACGAACUUUGGAGAGCUUGCUCUUUAAAGUUAGUGGCAAACGGGUGAGUAAUGUAUAAGAAUCUACCUAGCAGUAAGGAAUAACUUUGGGAAACUAAAGCUAAUACCAUAUAUUACCGUUUAUUCGGGAAAGAUUUAUCGCUGUUAGAUGAGCUUAUAUCAGAUUAGCUUGUUGGUAGGGUAAUGGCCUACCAAGGCAAUGAUCUGUAGCUGGUCUGAGAGGAUGGCCAGCCACACUGGGACUGAGACACGGCCCAGACUCCUACGGGAGGCAGCAGUGGGGAAUAUUGGACAAUGGGCGCAAGCCUGAUCCAGCAAUACCACGUGAAUGAUGAAGGCCUUAGGGUUGUAAAAUUCUUUUAGUAGGGAAGAUAAUGACGGUACCUACAGAAAAAGCACCGGCUAACUUCGUGCCAGCAGCCGCGGUAAUACGAAGGGUGCUAGCAUUGUUCGGAAUCAUUGGGCGUAAAGCGUAUGUAGGCGGCUUUGUAAGUUGGUUGUGAAAUCCCGGGGCUCAACCCCGGAAUUGCAAUCAAAACUGCUUCGCUAGAGUAUAGUAGGGGAUAGUGGAAUUCCUAGUGUAGGGGUGAAAUCCGUAGAUAUUAGGAGGAACAUCAGCGGCGAAAGCGGCUAUCUAGACUAUUACUGACGCUGAGAUACGAAAGCGUGGGGAGCAAACAGGAUUAGAUACCCUGGUAGUCCACGCAGUAAACGAUGAGUGCUAGUUGUCGGGAUCUUAGGAUUUCGGUGGCGAAGCUAACGCGUUAAGCACUCCGCCUGGGGAGUACGGCCGCAAGGCUAAAACUCAAAGGAAU
rnacentral:rRNA from 1 species